ensembl:lncRNA
AGUAGAGUAGCAGUAGGGGUUAUGGGUAGUUGGUUGUAUGGUAGUAGGGUAGCGGUAGGGGUUAUGGGUAGUUGGUAGUAUGGUAGUAGGGUUGCAGUAGGGGUUAUGGGUAGUUGGUAGUAUGGUAGUAGGACAGCGGUAGGGGUUAUGGGUAGUUGGUUGUAUGGUAGUAGGGUAGCAGUAGGGGUUAUGGGUAGUUUGUAGUAUGGUAGUAAUAGGGGUUAUGGGUAGUUGGUAGUAUGGUAGUAAUAGGGGUUAUGGGUAGUUGGUAGUAUGGUAGUAAUAGGGGUUAUGGGUAGUUGGUAGUAUGGUAGUAGGGUAGCAGUAGGGGUUAUGGGUAGUUGGUUGUAUGGUAGUAGGGUAGCGGUAGGGGUUAUGGGUAGUUGGUUGUAUGGUAGUAGGGUAGCAGUAGGGGUUAUGGGUAGUUGGUAG